CUACAAGUGCUGUGCCCCUAAGUUUUCGAAUAUAUUCAAGUGUAUCUGUUUUCCCCCGCUUUGGGGUCUACCCUACGGGCUAAUUCAACGUCCACGCCUGCCCUUAUCUGCUGCCCGGCGCUAACGCCAGGUUGCCACUACGCCAGGAACACCAGGACAGUAACGCCCAGCUACACACCGAUCCAAGUGCCACCACCACAGUAGGACAACGACCCACGUGAUUUAAGCCCAAUAAACCACUGCUGUACAAUUUGUA